rnacentral:lncRNA from 1 species
UAAAAAUAUAGCCCGGGCGCGGUGGCUCACCUGUAAAAUAUUUUAAAGAGGCUGAUUCUGAGCCAAUAGGAGUGACCAUAGCCCUGGGGAAAACACAGACCGAAGGAGCCUUGAUGAGCCUUUGGUUUCAUACAUUGUAGGGAGGCAGGAGUUAUAGGCAAAGACGUAUAUCAAUGCAUGAAAGGUACACAUUGGUUCAGCCCUAAAAGGCAGGAUGUCUUGAAGUGGGGACUUAUAGGUAUAAGUAGAUUCAGUGAUUCUUGAAUUUGCAGUUGGUUAAAGGAGUAAGGCUCUGUCGAAAACUUGGAAUCAGCAGAAAGGAAUGUUUAAGAUAAGGAUGCUAUGUAGCAAGAUUGCUGGCCUGCAGGCUAGACUUUACUCCUGCUUGGGAUAGCCUUGGGUCUUAUUUAUAAUGUGGUAUCUUAUUGCAACAAAGAAUCUGUUUGUCAGUCAGCUUGCUAGGGAAUGUUUGUCCGUCUUAUGAUCUCUAUUUAAUAUGCUGGUCAGUUGUGCCUAAACUCCAAAAGGGAGGGGGCAUAACAAGGCGUGUUCGACCUCCCUUCCUGUCAUGGCUGGGAGUUCAGUUUUCUUUUCUAUUCUUUAUUUUAU